rnacentral:lncRNA from 1 species
AAAAUCACAAAUUAAAAAUAAUAUUGUUUGACACCCUAAAACCCGUAGAUAUAAUUGAAGGUGCACGAAGAAACACAACACAGUACGAAGGGGGAACCCUAGCGGGUUUGAAUUGUGUUGAUCGACUUUAAAAUCUUUUCGUUCUUUCUUUAUAACAAUUAACAAAUAAGAAUUAAAACAAAAGUUACUCAAAACCAAAAAUACAACUAAAAUUGAACAAUCUUAGUGGAAAAUAGUAAAUUUUAAUUCAAUACCCCCACCAUAUUGGCUGCAUAAAGUGCCUAUACAACUUCUCAGCAACGAUUUUCAAAAGUAUCUGAAUUGAGAGAGGAAAAAGGGUAGAUUAGAUUACCCUACCAAAUUGGUGUGAACCGUUAUCUAUUAUACCUCUUUUCCUAAUUGCUUUACUUAAUAGAUUUAUGCUUUAACUUUAUUUGAAUCUUUUGAUAAAGAAUACAUAAUUUUUUUUAUUCGGUUAAGAAAGAAAAUAAUUUAAAAUCGUAGUGAAAGAACAUAAUUUUUUUUUCGUUUUAAGAAAGAACCUAAUUUUUUUUAUAAUGAAUGUAUUAUUCUGAUU